rnacentral:rRNA from 1 species
AUGAACGCUGGCGGCGUGCCUAAUACAUGCAAGUCGAGCGAACAGACGAGGAGCUUGCUCCUCUGACGUUAGCGGCGGACGGGUGAGUAACACGUGGAUAACCUACCUAUAAGACUGGGAUAACUUCGGGAAACCGGAGCUAAUACCGGAUAAUAUAUUGAACCGCAUGGUUCAAUAGUGAAAGACGGUUUUGCUGUCACUUAUAGAUGGAUCCGCGCCGCAUUAGCUAGUUGGUAAGGUAACGGCUUACCAAGGCGACGAUGCGUAGCCGACCUGAGAGGGUGAUCGGCCACACUGGAACUGAGACACGGUCCAGACUCCUACGGGAGGCAGCAGUAGGGAAUCUUCCGCAAUGGGCGAAAGCCUGACGGAGCAACGCCGCGUGAGUGAAGAAGGUCUUCGGAUCGUAAAACUCUGUUAUUAGGGAAGAACAAAUGUGUAAGUAACUAUGCACGUCUUGACGGUACCUAAUCAGAAAGCCACGGCUAACUACGUG